AAGGAGUCUAACAUAUGCGCGAGUCUUGGGGUGGCAAACCGCCAGGGCGUAAUGAAAGUGAGAGGGGAGAGGCCGCAAGGCUGCAUCCUCGACCGAUCUGGAUCCUUUUGUGAAAAAGAUUUGAGUAAGAGCAUAUAUGUUGGGACCCGAAAGAUGGUGAACUAUGCCUGAAUAGGGUGAAGCCAGAGGAAACUCUGGUGGAAGCUCGUAGCGGUACUGACGUGCAAAUCGUUCGUCAAAUUUGGGUAUAGGGGCGAAAGACUAAUCGAACCAUCUAGUAGCUGGUUCCCUC
rnacentral:misc_RNA from 1 species